ensembl:lncRNA novel transcript
AAAUGAGUUUCUUCACAUGCUGAGAGCAGUGCUCCUCAGACAGUAACAUGCACACGAAAUAUGUGAGGAUCCUGUUAAAGCACAGAUUCUGAUUCAGCAGGUCUGGGGUGGGGUCUGAAAAACUAUGUUUCUUACAAGCUUCUGGGUUAUUCCAGUGGUGCUGAUCCAAGGACCAUACUUUGUGUAGCAAGGACUUAGAAGCCUGCCUCACUUAGUGAAUGUUACAUGUGGUAGCUAUAAUUAUAUGUGUUUAGUAAUUGAUGAGCAAAAUUGAGCUGAAGUUUUUACAGUCUGAUAACAGUAUAUUCAGGGUUUUCAUAUCUCUCAUUUUCUUUAAUCCUCAUAAUUCAACACCGUAGGGAUUCAUGUCCCCAUUUACAAGUAAGAGAUUUGAGGCUCAGGGGGUAACUCAGAGUGACCAACUGUCCAAGUUUGCUUGGGAUUUUCCUGGGUCUAGCACUGGAAGUCUUGCAUCCCAAGAAUCCCCUCAGCCCCAGACAAACUAAAAGGGGUUGGUCACCCUAGAACUAAUAAGUACUCUACUGGAAUUCAAAGCCAGGUCUCUGAAUUCCAAAGAUGUAUUCUUUCCUGGAGACUAGCACUGCCUCGAGGCUAAACAGAGGAGGGAUAUAUGCUCAUACACUGUAAGAGAUUGUCUCCAAAGGUGCCCCCUCAGCCCCCAAUGAAUAAUGCCUCUCAGUACUUAUGUCUUUAUAU